ACAUUAUCAUCUCUCACUCAAUCAUUUGUCGCUCUCAUUCGCUCCACGAAUCCACCUUCUCUCAGGCGAUCCCCGGGACGGAGCCACGGAAGGGAAAGGGGCAGCGACUUGGCCCUGGCCGCCGCCGCGUCUGCGACUUCGUCCCGGCUGCUGCAGUCUCCCUAGCUCGCCGCAGCUUCUCUAUCCACCGCUCCUCUAUCUCACCCGGCGAUCCUGGCGACGGAGGGGAGGGGGCACAACUUUGCUCCGGCCGUCGUAGACGCUACAGGUCGCAGCAGCUUCUCAGAGUCCAGACACCGCUCCUAUUCUUCCACCGUCUCUCCCGGCCACCCCCGCGACAGAGGGGAGAGGCCGUGACUUCGCCCCGGCCGCCGCGACCGCCCCAGCUCGCAGAAGCUUCUUCAGCCAUACGUCCUGUUGGCCUACAACGAUGCCUUCGUGCACUUAGGCUCUAUGGGGGCGGUGACGGAGGAGAGAAUUACCUUCUGUUCUUGUUCAAAGGACAUAAACAUUGGAAGAGGUAGCUAGGACGUGCCAGUGGAUUGUGUAAUCGUUUGAUUGUCAUAGACAGGGUGAGAAUAUGGCAUACGAAGGUGUUGAGAUUUGUGCAGGCGCCAACCAUCAUAUCAACAUUUGGAGAGCUCGUUUGUCAGCUAUGAUUCCCAGGUAUUGGCUACUCCAGAUUUCUGGACUGUUUCGGAAUGAUUGCAUUUUUAUCUCUGUUCAAAUUGUUACAAAAUGAGCUGCACGGAAAUACAUGAUGCUGUGAAAUAUCUUGCCAGACCCUACAAGCUCUUUGCUGAUGUUGUGGAUGCAAGACAGGUUAUUGGAAAUUAAACUCUGUUAACACUGACGCCUACAUUGACCGUGGAGUGUUCUGCUAUACCAUGUAUUGCACUAAUGUGGAGUGUUCUGCUGCUAUAACUCUUGUUUUUUUUUUUGAGGUCGUGGUAGGAUCAUAUAAAGGGAAAAGUUGCUUUCAUGAUAUAUCAACUGGUGAACUAUCUUGGACAGUUCAAACAGACGGAGAGACACUACUCUGAUGGACGUACAGAACAAUGAAGUUGAGUUGAGACACUGGUCUGACCUUGAGAGUUGAGGUAGUGGCGUACGAUCAAGCGGGCGAGGGUGGAACGGUGGCUACCGACUCUGAUCCCGCUGGCAAGGAGAGCAGCGGCGUUGCAGCGAACUGGGCCGCGGAGGAGAACGAUUUAGGGUUGCUGCAGAUGCCGAGGAUGUGUUUUUUUUUUCAAAAUGUAUCUAUAAGUAGAUAAAAAACACUCAACAAAAUACAUCUAACCGGGUGCAUCCUAACAUUUUUACAUUCGUACCGCGCUAUCCUGUUUAAUUACGUAAAUAAAUAUUAGUGACCCGCUGUAAUGAUGACAUGUCAGAGACACCACUCUUCA